GUCAACUGCUCGCGUCGUGCUCCACACAUGCUAGUCGUACGGACAGGCCCUUCUUUUCUUGGUUCCUCGAGUGGCGAACGGUUGAGUACCACGUGAGUAUCUUGCCCUUGACUUUCCGCUACCUUCAGGCAACUUGCGUUAAUACCCCAUAGUAGUUCCUGCUGCAUGGCUGGGGUUGCAACGCUUCGGCGGUUGGGGAUGGACUCGCGGCUGAUCAGCUUGUUGGUGGGGUAGUGGCUUACCAAGGCGUUGACGGGUAGCGGGCCUGAGAGGCUGACCGGCCACAUUGGGACUGAGAUACGGCCCAGACUCCUACGGGAGGCAGCAGUGGGGAAGAUUGCACAAUGGGCGGAAGCCUGAUGCAGCAACGCCGCGGGCGGGAUGACGGCCUUCGGGUUGUAAACCGCUGUAGCCUGGGACGAAGCGUGAGUGACGGUAAUGGGUAGAGGAACAGCGGCUGGCUACGGG
rnacentral:rRNA from 1 species